UUGCGAUGACCCUCUCAAUCUUCCUCGGCCCAGUGCUAGCCCUUCCUCGAUUUCUAACAGUUACAGUUGCUCUCAGUUACAAGGAUGGCAUGUGGUAAGGGAGAGGAAGCCUUUACACUGAUCCUCUUAAUAAUCCUACUUGAUGAGGUGAAUGAGCCUUCGUUUCCCUCUCUUCCUCUAUUUUGUUUAACUUGUGUGUUGCUGUUACGAUCUUUUCUGUUCACUGCUCAAAGUAACAAGGAUGGCAAGUGGUACAGGAGAGGAAGCCUUUACACUGAUCCUCUUUUUAAUCCUACUUGAUGAGGUGAAUGAGCCUUCGUUUCCCUCUCUUCCUCUAUUUUGUUUAACUUGUAUGUUGCUGUUACGAUCUUUUCUGUUCACUGCUCAAAGUAACAAGGAUGGUAAGCAGUACGGGAGAGGAAGCCUUUACACUGAUCCUCUUUUUAAUCCUACUUGAUGAGGUGAACACAAUCGUUUCUCUCUCCUCUCUUUCGUUUAACUUGUACACUGCUGUUACGAUGAUGGUCAGGGGUAGAGAGGAUGGGGCCUUUACAAAUCCUCUUGAUCCCUCUUGGUCAUUUCUCCCUCUUCCUCUCUUCGAAGUCAACCCUUUCCAUCCGUGACACAGACAUUGGCGUUACAGUAUGGAGAGGGUCAAGAGGAAAUGGAAGAGAAUUAAUCCUCCUCUAAACCUUUCAAUCCUCCUCUAAAUUCCUCUUAAUCCUCUUCCACUUCCUCUUAAAGACGAGUAGAAGAGAAUUAAGAGGAAAUGGAAGAAGAUUAAUCCUCCUCUAAACCUUUCAAUCCUCCUCUAAAUUCCUCUUAAUCCUCUUCCACUUCCUCUAAAAGACAAGUAGAAGAGAAUUAAGAGGAAACAGAAGAAGAUUAAGAGGUUUAGAAGAGGAUUAAUGGUGAAGAUAUCAGCGUCGACGGAUUGAAGGGGUUAAGCUUAUACACUGCCCAGUUAGAAGGAUGCUGUGGUAGAGGAGAGGAAGGAAGGGGCCUUAACACAAAUCCUUAUUUUCUUACUCACAUUUCUCUCAUUGUUCUCAUCUUCUCACUGUGAUCCUUAUUUUCUUACUCACAUUUCUCUCAUUGUUCUCAUCUUCUCACUGUGAUCCUUAUUUUCUUACUCACAUUUCUCUCACUGUCCUCAUCUUUUUACUCACAAUUCUCUCAUCAUCCUCAUCUUCUCAGUCAUCCUUAUCUUCUUACUCACAUUUCUUUCACUGUCCUCAUCUUUUUACUCACAUUUCUCUCACUGUUCUCAUCUUCUCACUGUGAUCCUUAUCUUCUUACUCAUAUUUCUCUCAUUAUCCUCAUCUUCUCACUGUCUUCAUCUUCUCAGUCCUCAUCUUUUCACUGUCUUCAUCUUCUCAGUCCUCAUCUUUUCACUGUCGUCAUCUGCUCAUUCCCAUUUCCCUCAUCGUCACUCCUCUCUUCAGUCUUACACUUCCACAUCGGUCAGUUACGAGUUACAAAGACGUCAAGUGUAUGGGAGUAAAGGGGAGUCUUCACACACCCUUAUCGCCCCCCACUACACACACACACAUGCACACAGACACACACACACACACACACUUCACUGAGGCUUACUCCUGGCCGCGAUUCCCUCUUGCCUGGCACACUGCGUUGCUUUCCGAUUGUCGCCGUCACUGCCACAGCCACUACUAAUAAUACUCACUGCUGCUUCGUCUGUCACCGCUAUUGAUAAACAUUCACUGCUGCUGCCACUGCUGACGUCCUUACUCGGGGUUAGUAAGUUCAGUGCUCGCUAAAAAGUCCUCCUCGUAAAAGAUCCUCUCUGAUAUAUAUAUACGGUAUCUCAGUGGGUUCGCCUUAUGACACACGUUUUUUUUAUAUAUAGCUACGCCGACUAUGUAUGUAUAUAUGCAUUCUUGAAACUGCAGUACAAAUGAUUGAAUAUUUCUGUGGAGUUACGGUCACACCUAAAAAAUGGGGUUACGAGAUUAUGUGGUGAGAAGGGAUGGAAGGAAUGACUGGGUGUUGCAUGAGCGGUGGUGAUGGUGGUGUAGGUUGAUGGAGGAGAUUGAGGUUGGAUGUGUAAGGGUGUUGAUGGGCAGUGAGAGGCAACAAGUGAGCUGUCGUAGUGAUGAUGACGUAAAAGAAAAUGGUUGGUGUGAGUUGAUGAAGGGGAAUAAGGUAUAGAUGUGUUAGGAUGUGGAAAUGGACAUAGUUAAAGAGCUGAACAGUGGGAAAGACAAUGAAAAAGCUGACGUAGUGGUUAUAAGCUGGUGGCAAGAAAUGACUUAUAUAUAUAAUGUGUUCAGGACGUGGAAGCGGACUUAGAAAACGGACAGUGGGAAAGACAAUGAAUAAGCUGUAGAAGUACUUAUGACAACGGAAGAGAGGAAAGUGGAUGGUACAAGUGGGUGGUAAGGAAUGACGCAUAUAUAUAAUGUUAGGUUGUUGUGGGUGACUAUUAGAGAAUGGGCAGUAUGAAGGGUUGGGUCUGAUGAGGCAGAAGUGUGGGUUUGGAAAGGUCACAGAACAGGAGGGUAAGGUGAGGUUAGGUGGUCUUUGAUGAGGCAGAAGUGUGGGUUUGGAAAGGUCACAGAACAGGAGGGUAAGGUUGGGUUAGGUGAGGUUAGGUGGUCUUUGAUGAGGCAGAAGUGUGGGUUUGGAAAGGUCACAGAACAGGAGGGUAAGGUUGGGUUAGGUGAGGUUAGGUGGUCUUUGAUGAGGCAGAAGUGUGGGUUUGGAAAGGUCACAGAACAGGAGGGUAAGGUUGGGUUAAGUGAGGUUAGGUGGUCUUUGAUGAGGCAGAAGUGUGGGUUUGGAAAGGUCACAGAACAGGAGGGUAAGGUUGGGUUAGGUGAGGUUAGGUGGUCUUUGAUGAGGCAGAAGUGUGGGUUUGGAAAGGUCACAGAACAGGAGGGUAAGGUUGGGUUAGGUUACAAGAGAAAGGUUUACAUUAUCAACCUGUCCAACCCCAUAAGGGAGAAUAAGGACGCCAGAUAAAGAAGAAUAAAGAUGAAAGAGUUAUUGAGUCUAGUUAUAACACAGAUGAUGGAGACUAUAGUAGGAAACACACACAAAAAAAAUACCUCCCCAAAAUACCUCACACAUAAUGAAUACCCCUUUAGACAUGAUGUGUAUGAAUGGACUGUGGGAUAUGUGUUACAGUGUAUGUAUGAAGUAUGAUGCAUGUAUACCUUUGACGAACACACUCACUCACACACACACACAGACACGGGUGGAUGAAGUGAAACACGGGCAUUGGCUUGCUACAACUUUCAUUCAACCCAGCAGUAAACAAACAAGUAACAUCUCAAUGAAACACCUCCAAUACACACACACACACACACUCACACACACACACACACAGAGGUUCAGGUCAGUCCAUCAACACUGUACACACACACUCUCAGAUCCCUCACGUGUGCAAUCCACUCUCUCUCUUUCUCCUGCCUCACUGAAUGACCUGAGUGGUGAAAUUCCUUGGCUAGGCAGCUGAGGGAAGGAAGAACAUAAGAACAUAAGAACGUAAGAAGUCUGCAGGAGGCCAGGAAGGAAGGUGGCAGAGAAUAUUCCAAGACGAGAGAACCUUUGGAAUGGGUCGCCUCAUGCUAAUCCUCAUUCCUAGCUAUUCUGAAAUGGGUUUGAUCUGGUGGACUUGCAAUGACCUCCUGUUCUUCUUCUACUAAUGCAAGAGUAAUGCCCCAAAUUUAUCAUCAUCAAAAAGUAUCUAAAAUGUAGGAAGUACUAUUAUAUUUAUGUUAGAAAUGAGGUAAUAUGGUAAUUAUGUUUUUGUUUGUAUAUGGGAAUCAUGUUAUGUUUGUAGCCCUGUGAUGUCAUUCUACUCUUCCUCCCUCCUCCUUCCUUCCCCUCCUCCCCACUCCCUGUGCAAAGGAUGAGUAGCCAGAGACAUACCAUUCCAGCAAUCUUUUCAUAGGUGGUGUGGACCCAACCAUCAAGGCGUGGGAGUGUCAUUAACAUAAACAAACACAUGACCAUAUUACCUCAUCUAUGACGCAAAUGUGAGACUUCCUGCGUUAGAUAAUUUACGGCAAUGAUAAAUCUCAGAGCAUUACAUAUGUUCUUUUAUUCUCCUGCAAUGCCUAUAGUGUAUGACCUGCUAGACUUGUACUGACCUUUUCUGCUCCUUAAUUAACCUGUCCAUCUUUGCAGGUAAACACACAUAAUGCACACCAUCAAGUCAUUUUGUUAUACCUCCACAAGUAAUGCAAAUCUUCUAGUUAUCUUAUUCUCCCGAUGUGAUUUUAGUGUGUAACCUGUUUGGCUUUUUAACUGACCUGUCAAAUUGAUCAGGUAAACACAUAAUGGCCUCUUCCAAUCAUUGUGUUACACCUCUUCUAUAUAAUGCAGGUCCUCUCGUCCACUUACUCUCCUGUUGUGACUUUACUAUACGACCUGCUAGACUUGCAAUGAAUGACCUGUUUGACUUCUUAAUUGACCUGUCCAUUUGAUCAGGUAAACACAUAAUAAACACCACAUCGUUAUUUUGUUAUGCCUCUACACAUAAGGCCUUUUAGUUCUCUUCUUCUGCUGAUGUGACUUAAGUGUGUAACCUGUUUGGCUUUUUAAAUGACCUGUCCAUGUGAUCAGGUAAACACAUAACGAACGCCACAUCGUUAUUUUGUUAUGCCUCUACACACGAUGCCUUUCAGUUCUCUUCUGCAGUGACCAUAUCGCAUGACCUGGUAGACUUGCAAUGACCUGUUUGACUUCUUAUUUGAACUCCCCAUGUGAUCAGGUAAACACAUAACAAACAUCACAUCGUUAUUUUGUUAUGCCUCUACACACGAUGCCUUUCAGCUCUCUUCUGCAGUGACCAUAUCGCAUGACCUCGUAGACUUGCAAUGAUUUGGCUUCUUUAUCAAACUGUCCAGGAAAACAACAUAAUGGAGGCCAGAUCUUAAUUAUUUCCUUACACCUCUACUCAUAAUGCAACCCCUUACUCUCAUGCUACUUAACCUGUUCAUACUAGGCAACAAACACAUGCUGGACAACCCCAUCCCUGCAUCCUCCUUCCCUCAGUCACCUUGUCAGACCUGCACAGUAAAAAGCGACCAUGGGAUGAGUUAUGAGAAGCUGGACUGGUAUUGUAAUGCGGCUAUACACUUCAAUGCCUCUAGUGAUGAGCGAAUGAGUGGAUGAGAAACACAGAGAUUGACAUAAAACUUUGUGAGAGAAAAUGGGAGCUUUGGACGUCACACCAAUUUUUCAGCUGUAACUGCAAAAGAUUGGGAAAAGAUAAGAUGAGUGAAGAGAGUGAGUGAGGGAGAAACGAAGAUGCACUGGGAUGGAGAAUAGCAAGAUUAGCAUAUAUAACCAGUACUUUCAUGGGAGACUUGAACAACCAAAGUAAAUAGGAAAUGAGUGAAUGAGAUGGGAAUUGACAGAGAAAAGGAGACAUCACAAAGGAGAGAGAAUGAGAAAUGAGCGGAUCAUUCCAACACUUUUUUAGCUGUUUACCGGGAGACUCGAACAUCCGAAUUAAACAAAGAAUGAAAAAACAAGACAGGAAUUGAGAGAGAAAAGGAUGCACGAUGGAAGAGAGAGAGAGAGAGACAAUACCAGAUCACACCAACACUUUCUUUCUUUACCUGUUUGCCGGGACACUUAAAACUCAUUCAAGGUGAUUAUGACAACAACAACAGACCACUGGCUAACAACAUGAGCACACCACAACCCAACCCAACAACCCUUGACUGCUGGAGGCCAAGUGUGGGAAGGUGAGGGAAGGCUGGGGAAGAGUAGGAGGUCUGUGGAGGGUGAGGGAAGAUGAUGAAGAAGAAAAAAGGGCAUGAGGGGAAGUUGGAAAGUUUUGUUUAGUCGGCGCAACAUCUGUGGUCGUAUGCCGGAGAGAGACAGAAGGGGAAGGAAUUAUAGGAGAAGGCAAGAUGAUGAGGAAGAAACAAGGACAUUAGGGAGCUAAGAAGGGACGCAUGGAAGAGAUGAUAUUAUGGAAAGGUAUGGGAAGGGUGAGGAAGAGUAGGAGGUCUGUGGAGGGUCAGGGAAGAUGAUGACGAAGGAAUGAGGACAUGAGGGGUAAGGUAAGUAAGGUAAGAUGAGUAACAGGUGGGAAUGCGUGGAGGAUAUGAGGGAUUACAGCAAGAUAUGAAUGACAGUGGUAUGACUCAAUGGGGAGAAUGAGGACAGUCAAGAUCUAGUUGGUGGGAAAGAGAGUUGGGAGAUUCAAAGGAGAUGUGAUUCUGUAGUCAUGAGAUGAGUGAGGAUAAACUCAUGGGGAGGGAAAAUGUUAGAAUUAGUCUUGUCAUCAGUGAAGGGAGAGGAGGAGGAGGAGGAGGAACAUGGAAGAGCUAAUACUGAAGUGAUGAAGGGGAGGUGUCGGGAAGGAAAAGGUUAAAUAUGUCAUGUUAUCAGUAAAGAGAGAGGAGGAGGAGGAGGAGGAAGAUGGCCGAAGACUGGAGUGAGGUUGGGAGGUGAGGAAAGAUUACAAUAUGCCAUGUUACUAGUAAAGGAAAAGGAGGAAGAGUAACAUGGAAAGGGGAAAAAUUAAGUGAUGGGAAGGGAAAAGGUUAGAAUAUGUCAUGUUGUUGAAGGGAGAGGAGGAAGAGGCAGAACAUAGAUGGGAUAAGAGGAGAAAGUGGAGGAUAUAUGUCAUGUUAGCAGUGAAGGAAAAGGAGGAAGAGGAGGAUGGAAGGGGUAAGAAUGAAGAGACGGGAAGGGAAAAGGUUAGAAUAUGUCAUGUUGUUGAAGGGAGAGGAGGAAGAGGCAGAGGAGGAGGAGGCAGAACAUAGAUGGGCUAAGAGGAGACAGUGGAGGAUAUGUCAUGUUACCAGUGAAGGAAAAGGAGGAGGAAAAAGAGGAGGAACAUGGAUGGGCUAAUACUGAGGUGACGGGAGAGAGGGGGAGGAAAAGGUAAGAAUGAAAAUGUUACUGGUGAAGGAAAAGGAGAUGGAGGAACAUGGAGGAGGAAGCGAAGGGUAUAUGUCAUGUUGUUAGUGAGAGGAGGAGGAGGAGAAGGAGGAGGAGGAGGAAUAGGAGAAGGAACAUGGAUGGGCUAAGAUUGAAGUGAUGUAGGAGGUGGAAAUGAAGGGCAUAUGUCAUGUUACUAGUGGGAGGAGGAAGAGGAACAUGGAUGGGGUAAGAAUGAAGUGAUGAGGAGGGAAAACAUUAGAAUAUAUCAAGUUACCAGUGAAGGAAGAAGAGGAGGAGGAACUUGGAUGGACAAAGACUUAAGUGAUAGGGGGGAGAGGAG